UUUCCACCAACUUGGGGAGCAGUGACCUUCAUAACCUUAAAAAUCUUGUGUUUAGAGGUGCUGUCUUUGUGGAGUCUUGGCAACAGGCAUGGUCGUCUUCUGUAAUGCCUGUGUAGCCUUUUUUGCUUCCUUGGUACACCUGAUAGCCUCCUCUCUCUGAGCUUUCUUAACUUGUGGCUUCUGAUUCCUCUAGGCCAUUAUAUUUGGAAGAGAUACACUAGUAACAGCUCACUGGAACUUGACUGCAUAGUGGGUUCUUUUCUUUUGAUUUUCUUCCCAAUUGUCCUUUUUUUGGUGUUUUCUUCUGAAGAGGGUGGUUCAGUUUAUCUACCAAGAAUUCCUUUUGACAAGGAAUGAAGACUCACAUUUUUU
rnacentral:lncRNA from 1 species